rnacentral:other from 1 species
AGUUCCAGCGAGAGGCAGAGGGAGCGAGCGGGCGGGCCCUUGAGGGUGGAAGAACAGAGGGAGCUGAGCAAGCACAGUCGCUCUCCGGGCGCCCGGAGAAGGGAGACCCGGAGUGAAAGGGGGCCUUCGCCUCCGGCCCAGCCGCCCCCACCCCACCCUUCCCGCCGACCCCUGCCAGCAGUGCGCAACCCCCGCCACAUCCACGAAACUUUGCCCAUUGCAGCGGGCGGGCACCCUCCACUGGAACUUACAACACCCGAGCGAGAACUCGACUCUCCGGACGCGGAGAGGCUAUUCUGCCUAUUUGGGGAGACACUUUUCCCCGCCAC